rnacentral:lncRNA from 1 species
GCCCCUCCUCUUGACCACAUCUUCAUAUUUUGUACCCCACCUCUUUUCCACUUGUACAUAAUUUCUUCAUCUAAUAAAUUUUGAGGGAAGCUUCUUGCUUCCUCCUUUCUCCUUCAAAAAAAUCUAUUUUCUAUUUUUUUUGUGAAAAAAAAUCAAUAUAUAGGAUGGAAUUGGUGAAAGAUUCACAGUCGAGACAGAGACAAUUCCCUAGUCUUCCUUUGCUUUCAAAAUCAUGGUUUCUCCACUUGAAUUCAAUUCAUUAGUUAGAAGAAAAGUAAUUGAUCAAAAUGAUUAUUUGAGCCAAAACAACAAUCAAACAACGCAUAAUGGAAGCUGCCGAAUUCAGAGCAUCAAAAUUUUCCAAAUAUCAGCUUAAAAAAAUUUACAGCAGAUUCUUCAACUACUUAAUUUUAACUCAGGCCAAAAGUCGACGGGCAACGACAGAAUCACCUGCAUGAAUUCAAACCCUAGUACUAGAUAUCCAAGAACCCACCAUGCAGAUCAUGAUACAAGAGUCUAAAGGCAAAAAACUAAAUAAAAUCUUGAAGGCAUUCCAAAAACUUCAAGCUACGAACUAUGUGCGUGCGCCAAUUGGAUUCCCAGAAAAAGCACCU